UACAGAGGGUGCGAGCGUUGUUCGGAAUUACUGGGCGUAAAGGGUGCGUAGGUGGUUAAUUAAGUUAGAUGUGAAAUCCCUGGGCUUAACCUAGGAAUUGCAUAUAAUACUGGUUGACUAGAGUGUGAGAGAGGGAAGUGGAAUUUCCGGUGUAGCGGUGAAAUGCGUAGAUAUCGGAAGGAACAUCAGUGGCGAAGGCGGCUUCCUGGACUCAUACUAACGCUGAGGCGCGAAAGCGUGGGGAG
rnacentral:rRNA from 1 species